rnacentral:RNase_P_RNA from 1 species
GAAGUCCGUCAGGCCGUCGCUGGUGCAAGUCCCGAAAGGGCGCACUGGAGGAACGUCCGGACUGCGCAGGACAGCGUAGGAGGUAACCCCUCUCCACCGUGAGGUGAGGAUCAGAGCAACAGAGACGAGCCGAUUGAGUUCGGGUGAAACGGGCAAUCUCUACGCGCAGCAAUGCCAAGUAGGCCAGCGUUGACGUGGUUCCGCGGAGCUGGCGGGUAGGCAGCAUCGAGCCGGGUAGGCGACUCCCGGCCCAGAGUAAUGACGGUCACGCCCGGCUUGCCGGGUGCACAGAAUCCGGCGUAUCGACGGGCUUCACUU